rnacentral:tRNA from 1 species
UCCUAGGCUAGCUCAGUCAGUAGGGCAUGAGGCUCUUAAUCUCAGGCUCAUGGGUUCAAGCCCCACAUUGGGCA